rnacentral:rRNA from 1 species
GUACCAAAAACCGACGGCCGGUUCUGCCGGUCUCACUCUUGGUGACUCUGAAUAAAGUAGCGGAUCGCACGGCCUUGCGCCGGCGGCGGACCAUUCAAGUGUCUGCCCUAUCAGCUUUCGAUGGUAAGUGACCUGCUUACCAUGGCUUUCACGGGUAACGGGGGAUUAGGGUUUGAUUCCGGAGAGGGCGCCUGAGAGACGGCGACCACAUCCAAGGAAGGCAGCAGGCGCGUAAAUUACCCAAUCCUGACACGGGGAGGUAGCGACAAAAAAUAACAAUGGCGGGCCUUUCUAGGUCUGCCAAUUGGAAUGAGAACAAUUUAAAAACCUUAUCGAGGACCAAUUGGAGGGCAAGUCUGGUGCCAGCAGCCGCGGUAAUUCCAGCUCCAAUAGCGAAUAUUAAAGUUGUUGCAGUUAAAAAGCUCGUAGUUGGAUUUGUGGUGGCGCCCGAGGUCCAUUUGUUGGUACCAGCGGGCGCCGCCAUCCUUGGGUGGAACCUGUGUGCAUUCCCUCCGUCGUGCUCCGGUCGCGGCUCGUGCACUGUGCUACCGGAGCGUCUUCUGUUCACGUUUAAGC